GUUUCGAUGAUCGGUACGCAAAAGCUUACAGAAAUUCAUCGAAACAUUACUGCGCAGAUUGAGAAAAAUCGAAAAUGUCGAUAAACGUUUUAUUGUUAGCUAUCCUCAUAAUUGUGAGCCUUUAUGCUUGUGCAGCUGAAGACGACUGUUACAACUCAUUUUGUUGGCCGAAGGAAGGCUACAACUGCUGUGAAGGGUCAACAUGCAGUGGCGGAGACAAUGUAGGAAAAUGCGAAAAUACUGAGUAAUGUCAACUCUGGUCUCGGAAAAUAGAAAAAAAAAAUUGUAUUAAUUACAUGCAUGAAUAAAUAUUAUUGCACAAUAAUAAAAAAGAAGUAAAUUGAA